CCUUGCAAGAGGAGACUCUGAUACUCUGCAGUUAACCAAAGAUGAUGUGGAUGAUUUUGAAUAUGCUUCACUCAUUGACAAGGUGAGUUUAUCUGCUAUGACUAGCUGUAACAAGUGAAAUGCUUUUCAUGGUGUACAGUAUUUAAUUGCUAUCUGGUUCCUGAGCUGGUGAUGUAAUAUUAGGAGGAAGCAGCAACCGAUCUGACAGAGCUGACAGAUGAAAUCGUGAGUUGUGGUUACACAGAGCUUUUAAAGUCUGACAGGAAGGACAGUAUCAUAAGAGCCAUAGUGCUACAUGCUACAGACUCCUAUGCUUCAACAAAUCAGAGAUGGCAUGAGGGUUUACAAUCUUCUGGAGGUGAUUGGGAUGCAUCCAACUCUCUGCUCACACCUUUAUGUCCCAAAAGAGGAUGACAGACCGGAUUCUGAUUACAUAAUGAAUAUCCUGGCACCUGUGCUAAGUGAGAAGGGAAGUCCAAAACGAGCAAAAGAGAAUUCCAUCAUCAACUUCUUCCAGGACUUUCUGCAGGACCUUGAAGUCACAGGUUUGGAUGAAGAACAUGAUGAGGGGAACUGGAGUCUGGAACAACAGGAGUCAAGAUUGUCUGUCCCGUCAAUACUGCAAUGGUUGACUGGUCAAAGGCACAAGCCUCUUCUUCCAUCAGAUCGGGCAACUUUCAAAAUAAAUGUAGAGUUUGACCACCACUGUAAUGAAAGAAUGCCUGGUCAUAGCAUCUGUUUCCCUGUUGUCAGCACGAACACUGUUACAUUUCCUGUUGAACACAUGCAAACAUCUGCUCAGUUUCGACAUGUACUGACAAUGGCAAUUAGAAUGGGCAGAGUUUUUAGUAGGGUGUAGGAGCCAUGUUUUUCUAAUCUGUUAGAUUAGAAGAUACUGUUCAGUUUUCUCCUUGGCCUGCAUGUUUGCAAAAGGCAGCAGUCACCCUACAAUAA